rnacentral:rRNA from 1 species
AAUGGAGGAAACUCUGAACCAGCCAUCCCGCGUGAAGGAUGAAGGGGCUCUGCCUUGUAAACUUCUUUUGUCUGGGGCGAAAAAGCUCGAUUUAUCGAGAACUGACGGUACCAGAAGAAUAAGCACCGGCUAACUCCGUGCCAGCAGCCGCGGUAAUACGGAGGGUGCAAGCGUUAUCCGGAAUCACUGGGUUUAAAGGGUGCGUAGGCGGCUUAGUAAGUCAGUGGUGAAAGGCUGUGGCUUAACCAUGGAAUUGCCAUUGAUACUGCAGAGCUUGAAUGAGGUUGAGGUUGGCGGAAUGUGACAUGUAGCGGUGAAAUGCUUAGAUAUGUCAUGGAACACCGAUUGCGAAGGCAGCUGACUGGACCUAUAUUGACGCUGAGGCACGAAAGCGUGGGGAGCGAA